AAUAGAUACCCGGGUAGUCCUAGCCGUAAACGAUACUCGCUAGGUGUCGGCCACGGUGCGACCGUUGUCGGUGCCGUAGGGAAGCCGUGAAGCGAGCCACCUGGGAAGUACGGCCGCAAGGCUGAAACUUAAAGGAAUUGGCGGGGGAGCACCACAACGGGUGGAGCUUGCGGUUUAAUUGGAUUCAACGCCGGAAAUCUUACCGGGACCGACAGCAAUAUGAAGGCCAGGCUGAAGACUUUGCCGGAUUAGCUGAGAGGUGGUGCAUGGCCGUCGUCAGUUCGUACUGUGAAGCAUCCUGUUAAGUCAGGCAACGAGCGAGACCCACGCCCACAGUUGCCAGCGUACUCUCCGGAGUGACGGGUACACUGUGGGGACCGCCGCUGCUAAAGCGGAGGAAGGAAUGGGCAACGGUAGGUCAGUAUGCCCCGAAUAUCCCGGGCUACACGCGAGCUACAAUGGUUGGUACAAUGGGUAUCUACCCCGAAAGGGGAUGGAAAUCUCCUAAAGCCAAUCUUAGUUCGGAUUGAGGGCUGCAACUCGCCCUCA
rnacentral:rRNA from 1 species